rnacentral:rRNA from 1 species
GACGAACGCUGGCGGCGUGCUUAACACAUGCAAGUCGAACGGAAAGGCGCUGCUCUUGUGGGGUGCUCGAUUGGGGAACGGGGGAGUAAAACGUGAGUAACCUGCCCUUGACUUUGUGGUAACUUCAGGAAACUGGGGCUAAAACCGGGGAGGAUCUCCUGCUGCAUGUGGGGGGUUGGAAAGUUACGGCGGUUCGGGAUGGACUCGCGGGUUAUCAGCUGGUUGGUGGAGUUGGGGCUUCCCAAGGCUUUGACGGGUAGCCUGCCUGAGAGGGGGACCAGCCACAUUGGUACUGAGAUACGGCGCAGUCUGCUAUGGGACGCAGCAGUGGGGAGUAUUGCGCAAUGAGCGGAAGCCUGAUGUGACGGCGCUGCGUGCGGGAUGACGGCCUUCGAGUUGUAAACAGCUUUCGCAUUUGACGAGGCGUGAGUGACGGUAAUGGGUAAAGAAGCCCCGGCUAACUACGUG